UCCGGUUUGGCACCGGCAGUCUCCCCAGAGUUCCCGGCAUGACCCGCUGGCAACUGAGGACAAGGGUUGCGCUCGUUGCGCCACUUAAGGCAACACCUCACGACACGAGCUGACGACAGCCAUGCAGCACCUGUGUGCAGGUCCCCGAAGGGAAGGAAUCCAUCUCUGGAAGCCGUCCUGCCAUGUCAAAGGCUGGUAGGGUUCUGCGCGUUGCUUCGAAUUGAACCACAUGCUCCACCGCUUGUGCGGGCCCCCGUCAAUUCCUUUGAGUUUUAAUCUUGCGACCGUACUCCCCAGGCGGGAUGCUUAAUGCGUUAGCUGCGCCACUGACAGGCAAGCCUGCCAACGGCUAGCAUCCAUCGUUUACGGCAUGGACUAC
rnacentral:misc_RNA from 1 species